rnacentral:lncRNA from 1 species
CUACAGUGACUUUCCUAGGACCAUGUGAAAUCGAAUUUUAUAUCACGAAAUGUAUACUAAACAAUAAAAUUAUAAGGAAAUACAGAGCCACUCAUUUGAAGGGAUAUCUCUUGUUCCUUGCCAACUAAGCCUCCAAAGAAUUGUUGUAUUUGUAUUCUAUUGCUAAUAUAGUUACAAAGUUGGAGCACCUGGAAAAGUAAGUCUCAACCUGGAAAUACUGUGUUGAAGAGGAAGUGGUGGUGAAACCAUCAACUGAAGAAAGCUAAAGCUGGAAGUAACUGAUAUAAUCAUAGAUGGCUGUUGAAUAAACAAUAAAUGGGCUUGUCAUACAUCCUGCCAACACAAAGAGUUACAUAAAUAUUGACUAAUAAACAAAUGUCUCCUGCCAGUGCAGACUCUGGGCCAACGUCCAAAAGGUUAAGAGGCAGCUGAUUUCAAAGUUACUGCCACCAUGAAAGCUCCCCAUCCUCCAGUCAAUCAGUUCUCCUUGGUAGAAAUGUUCUUCCUUGUCCAGUAUUUUCUGUGGAUUUAGCACCUCCACCCCUCUACUUGACUGGCAACAAUACCGUCAAGACUAGGAAACUCAAACAGAGAAAAAGGCACAAUUCUUCUGCUCUGCUAAAAUCAGCUAAUGAAAAAGAUUAUUUAAUUUGCAUGUAAUUAGCUAGUUAGCUGCUUUUGC